GAGUAGCACAAUUUGAAGAAAACAAGGAGAUUGCAAAUAAUAACCUAACUACCUGGAAUUUUACUUGGCUGCUAAAGGAUGAGACACCUUUGUCUACCUAUCAAAGACCACAGGAAUUCUACUGUGAUUUUGAGACAGAUUGUGAGCUGGAGUACUCCUCUGAUGGUGACAACGGAUUGACAGGCUGGGUAACUGCAACACCACAGGAUCUUGCCCUGAUCACUGAGACUCCUGUACCAGAUCAAGAUUACUCUGAGAAGUCAAGUGAAGGACAUUUUCUCUUUCUGAAUGCAUCGGGGCUUGCAACGUUCACAUUACUGAGUCCGUGGCUGAGGAGCACCAGCGAGCACUGCACCUUUGGCACAGCCGUUUACCUGCAGGGAUCAAGGUCGGGGGACUAUGUCGUUCAGCUGCUCUACAGGAAUGAAAGCAAGACUCUUAUCCUGUCAACAGAAAAUGUGGCAAG